UACCAGUGGCGGUUCGUCCAUAGGGGGCGCUAGGGCGCCGCCCCUCUUAAAAUUUGGAGAUGAAAAAAAAAGAAGAAGAAAAAAAAAAUUCUGUCAAAAAACAUUAUAUGCCAAAUCAUUUAAAUAGUAAAUAUACCGUGUUGACGCACUAAAUGUGUGUGGGAGACCGUAAGCCCCUGUCAACAACCACUUAAGUUAAUGUGAAAAAAUAUAAUAUAUCGCCAUUAUCACGGAGAGAAGCCCCUCCCCUUUUUCGAGGCGCUGGUCUAACGUGUGUGUACGGCAUCGAUACAACGUUUCAGUCGUUUUGGCAAUGACCGGCUUCACAUUGGCGGAUGAAACCGGGAAUCUUGGGGCGCACAAAUGUGCGCACGCGAUUGGAUUAUUGGGCAGAUCAGAGACCCGUAUGUUCCCUCAGCCCAUAGAGCAGUGUUGCCAGGUCCGCGGUUGUCCUGCGGAAUCGGGCCACUUUUGAAGUGUUGCGCGGGUUGAAUUUUUGUCCUUGGUUCGGGUAGACCUAUUUUGCAUGCAAAUUACAUGAAUAUCUUUCAAUAAAAAUCCAUAUUUUAAAUGAAAUAAUUUAUUCAUACCCAAAUCCUACCAAACUGACUCCAGAUCAGCAUGUACACACAUUUUAUUUAUGAUAAUAUACUGUAUCUAAUUACACAAGGCCAUUUUAGGACCUAGGUGAAAUAACUUGAGGGAAAACUGCUUUUAAUGCUGGCAAACUAAACAUGUUGUUACUUUGUAGAUAUUACAAUACAUUUGGCAAUGAUAGCAAUGCUGUUGGACAUUAAAAGCAGUGUAUAUGGUUUGGCACGGGCAUAUUUUGAGUUCUGAUAUUGGGCUGGUUUUUGGGCUGGUUGUGUCACACAGACCUGGCAACCCUGCUGCCCAGAGCUCCACGGAGGUACGCGAGCAACAUAGCUAGCAGAAGCUUUAUGUUAGUAUGGCGUCGGCGACUGAAAACUCUGGUAUCUCUACACCAAACACCUUUCAAUCGACGGUCAGAUAUUGACAAGAAGAGGCUGAAAGAGUUGGGACCCGAACAUCCGGAUUUAAAAAUUGUGCAGCAAAGCGCUGACCGCGGGAGGACGUACACCCGGAGGUGCUCCUCAAACCGAUAUGCUAACCGGAGCUGGUUAGCUGAAUGCUCCAUGAGUAAUUCGUUUUUUGUUUCCCCUGUCUGUUUUCUAAAGUCCUGGGAUGGAAACUCUCUGGACUACAACGGGGUGAGGGAUCUACAGAGCUUCAGACAAGUGGAAAGCACGAAUCUUGCCGAAGUUAUCUAGCUAAGAACAUGGAGCUAACUCGCUAACAGCAUGAAGCCAACCCUGUUUGCAGACCGAACUGGCAUCGAAAACACAACGAAGAAGUUCUGAAAAACAGACACAUUCCCUCCAGAAUAAUGGAAACAGGCUGGUUACAGACAUGAUUGACUUUAACCAGAGUUAUUGAGAAGUUUGACCACUUUGAAGAGAGGAGGCUACUUUUCUUUACAUAUAGUGGGUCUACUCUGUCAAACAGUUAGAAAUGCACUCUGUCAUUUCUUGUUUUCAUUGUAUUGUAUUUUAUUUUUGUUUGUUGUUCAACGAUAUUAUUGAGUGUUUGUGAAUUUUAUUUUAAUGAGCUAUUUUUAUUUAGCGUUAUUUUUAAAAAUCUGUUUCCUGCGGAAAUUGCUUUCCAUCUGUUGCACUUCCUGCUCCUGAGUCCGUCUUUCCGUCACAAUGGUUUUAUAUUGCCGAGGAAUAAAUAAGUGCUGGGAAAAUCCACCAUCUGA